GAAGAAAAUAAAGUGCCUACAUAAUGUAACUGAAUGACAAGCAGCUGGUUUAGAAGACUUCUAGUGUAAUUGUCUGUUCUUCCUUUCCCUAUGUUCAGCAAUCUGCUUGGAACGUGUAAGGAGGAGCACAGGUUGCAGAAUGGAAGAGUCUGGAAGAGGCACCAAUGCAGAUUUGAUUCUGGCCCAUAUUUGUCACAGGAGGUUGCACCAUUAAUCAGGGCUGCCUGCAGAGGAAGUAACUAUGC